AGUGAACGCUGGCGGCGUGCUUAACACAUGCAAGUCGAACGAGAACGGAAUAUAGCUUGCUAUAUUUGUCAGCUAAGUGGCGCACGGGUGAGUAAUGUAUAGAUAACCUGCCCUUAAGAAAGGAAUAACAGUUGGAAACGACUGCUAAUGCCCUAUAUGCCUUUAAUACAUAAGUAUGCAAGGGAAACGCUUUAGUGCUUAAGGAUGGGUCUGUAUGGUAUCAGCUUGUUGGUGAGGUAAUGGCUCACCAAGGCUAUGACGCCUAACUGGUUUGAGAGGAUGAUCAGUCAGACUGGAACUGAGACACGGUCCAGAAUCCUACGGGAGGCAGCAGUGGUGAAUAUUGCACAAUGGACGAAAGUCUGAUGCCGCAACGCCGCGUGGAGGAUGACACAUUUCGGUGCGUAAACUCCUUUUAUAUAGGAAGAUAAUGACGGUACUAUAUGAAUAAGCACCGGCUAACUCCGUGCCAGCCGCCGCUGUAA
rnacentral:rRNA from 1 species